rnacentral:rRNA from 1 species
GCAGUUAGUUAGCAACUAUACCGUGAAACUGCGAAUGGCUCAUUAAAUCAGUUAUCGUUUAUUUGAUAGUACCUUACUACUUGGAUAACCGUGGUAAUUCUAGAGCUAAUACAUGCUAAAAACCUCGACUUCGGAAGGGGUGUAUUUAUUAGAUAAAAAACCAAUGCCCUUCGGGGCUUCUUGGCGAUUCAUAAUAACUUAACGAAUCGCAUGGCCUUGUGCCGGCGAUGGCUCAUUCAAAUUUCUGCCCUAUCAACUUUCGAUGUUAAUGUAUUGGAUUAACAUGGUUUCAACGGGUAUCGGGGAAUUAGGGUUCUAUUCCGGAGAGGGAGCCUGAGAAACGUAAGCUUUGCUCCGCGAUCUUGAUCUUCGAACCACAUGCUAAUCAUCAUAAUAGGGCUACCACAUCCAAGGAAGGCAGCAGGCGCGCAAAUUACCCAAUCCCGACACGGGGAGGUACGUUUUCAAUGUCUUUACUGUAGUGAAUUUUACUAAUAUUCUUUCUAUAGGUAGUGACAAUAAAUACUGAUACAGGGCUCUUUUGGGUCUUGUAAUUGGAAUGAGUACAAUUUAAAUCCCUUAACGAGGAACAAUUGGAGGGCAAGUCUGGUGAACGAUCGUUCUAUACUGGCGCCAGAAAUAGUAAUGCGCCGGUCGGCCUUGGCUGUACGGCGCACACUAGUCGAGUAUUCACACAUUCGCGGGAGAAUACCGGCAAGAUAACCUGGAUCGGGGAAGGCUAAGGCUGCUAUGCGGCUAUGCUAAUCCCGAGCAGAGCACUCUCGAGAGUGCCUGUGUAGAGCGCGGAAAGGUAUCGGUCACUUGUUAGUGGCUUAUGGUACGUGCCAACCCCCUGUGAAAGCAGGUCUCGAGUAAAAGUGCCCGCCGCAUGAAGACUCGAGAGCUUUACUGAAUAGUGAAGUGCGAUGGGAUCCUUCCUGGGGGUGUUCGUCUUUGCGGUCUCCGGCCCAAAGAACCAUCUUUCAGCGAUGCCCAAAUCAAAAGGCCAGCAGCCGCGGUAUUCCAGCUCCAAUAGCGUAUAUUAAAGUUGUUGCAGUUAAAAAGCUCGUAGUUGAACCUUGGGCCUGGCUGGCCGGUCCGCCUCACCGCGUGCACUGGUCCGGCCGGGCCUUUCCUUCUGGGGAGCCGCAUGCCCUUUAUUGGGUGUGUCGGGGAACCAGGACUUUUACUUUGAAAAAAUUAGAGUGUUCAAAGCAGGCCUAUGCUCGAAUACAUUAGCAUGGAAUAAUAGAAUAGGACGUUGUGGUUCUAUUUUGUUGGUUUCUAGGACCGCCGUAAUGAUUAAUAGGGAUAGUCGGGGGCAUCAGUAUUCAAUUGUCAGAGGUGAAAUUCUUGGAUUUAUUGAAGACUAACUACUGCGAAAGCAUUUGCCAAGGAUG